rnacentral:rRNA from 1 species
GAUUAACGCUGGCGGCGUGCCUAACACAUGCAAGUCGAACGAGGUAGCAAUACCUAGUGGCAGACGGGUGAGUAACGCGUGGUCAACCUACCGUUGAGUGGGGGAUAACUAGCCGAAAGGUUAGCUAAUACCGCAUACGUCUCCGAGGGGCAUCCCUUGGCGAUAAAAGGAGCAAUCCGCUCGAUGACGGGACCGCGUCCCAUUAGCUAGAUGGUGGGGUAACGGCCUACCAUGGCACCGAGGGUAGCUGGUUUGAGAGAGCGACCGGCCACACUGGGACUGAGACACGGCCCAGACUCCUACGGGAGGCAGCAGUGGGGAAUCUUGCGCAAUGGGCGAAAGCCUGACGCAGCGACGCCGCGUGAGGGAUGACGGCCUUCGGUUGUAACC